rnacentral:rRNA from 1 species
UACGGGGGGGGCAAGCGUUGUUCGGAAUUACUGGGCGUAAAGGGCUCGUAGGUGGCCAACUAAGUCAGACGUGAAAUCCCUCGGCUUAACCGGGGAACUGCGUCUGAUACUGGAUGGCUAGAGUUUGGGAGAGGGAUGCGGAAUUCCAGGUGUAGCGGUGAAAUGCGUAGAUAUCGUGAGGAACACCAGAGGCGAAGGCGGCUACCUGGACAAUUGCUGACGCUCAGGCACGAAAGCGUGGGGAGCAAAAGGG